UACAGAGGGGGCAAGCGUUGUUCGGAAUUACUGGGCGUAAAGGGCGCGUAGGCGGCCUUCUAAGUCGAACGUGAAAUCCCCGGGCUCAACCCGGGAACUGCGUCCGAUACUGGAAGGCUUGAAUCCGGGAGAGGGAUGCGGAAUUCCCGGUGUAGUGGUGAAAUGCGUAGAUAUCGGGGAGGAACACCAGUGGCGAAGGCGACUUCCUGGCCUGUUCUUGACGCUGAGGCGCGAAAAGCUAGGGUAGCAAACGGGG
rnacentral:rRNA from 1 species